AGGGAUCAUUACCGAGUUUACAACUCCCAAACCCCUGUGAACAUACCAAUUGUUGCCUCGGCGGAUCAGCCCGCUCCCGGUAAAACGGGACGGCCCGCCAGAGGACCCCUAAACUCUGUUUCUAUAUGUAACUUCUGAGUAAAACCAUAAAUAAAUCAAAACUUUCAACAACGGAUCUCUUGGUUCUGGCAUCGAUGAAGAACGCAGCAAAAUGCGAUAAGUAAUGUGAAUUGCAGAAUUCAGUGAAUCAUCGAAUCUUUGAACGCACAUUGCGCCCGCCAGUAUUCUGGCGGGCAUGCCUGUUCGAGCGUCAUUUCAACCCUCAAGCCCUCGGGUUUGGUGUUGGGGAUCGGCGAGCCCUUGCGGCAAGCCGGCCCCGAAAUCUAGUGGCGGUCUCGCUGCAGCUUCCAUUGCGUAGUAGUAAAACCCUCGCAACUGGUACGCGGCGCGGCCAAGCCGUUAAACCCCCAACUUCUGAAUGUUGACCUCGGAUCAGGUAGGAAUACCCGCUGAACUUAAGCAUAUC
rnacentral:rRNA from 1 species